rnacentral:rRNA from 1 species
UACGUAGGGGGCAAGCGUUGUCCGGAUUUAUUGGGCGUAAAGAGCGUGUAGGCGGUUCGGUAGGUCCGUUGUGAAAACUCGAGCUCAACCUCGAGACGCCGAUGGAAACCCCCGAACUAGAGUCCGGAAGAGGAGAGUGGAAUUCCCGGUGUAGCGGUGAAAUGCGCAGAUAUCGGGAAGAACACCCGUGGCUAAGGCGGCUCUCUAGUACGGUACUGACGCUGAGACGCGAAAGCGUGGGGAGCGAACAGG